CUAUAAUGCAGUCGAGCGAGCGAAUUGGACGGAAUACUUCGGUAGGAAGUGCAAUGAGCGAGCGGCGGAUGGGUGAGUAACACGUAGGCAAUCUACCCUUAAGCGGGGGAUAACACCUGGAAACAGGUGCUAAUACCGCAUAAAACUAAGGACGCCUGUUCUAAAGUUAAAAGACGGUGAGAGCUGUCACUUAAGGAUGAGCCUGCGGCGUAUUAGCUAGUUGGCAAGGUAAGAGCUUACCAAGGCGAUGAUACGUAGCCGACCUGAGAGGGUAAUCGGCCACAUUGGGACUGAGACACGGCCCAAACUCCUACGGGAGGCAGCAGUAGGGAAUCUUCCACAAUGGACGCAAGUCUGAUGGAGCAACGCCGCGUGGAUGAAGAAGGUCUUCGGAUCGUAAAAUCCUGUUGUUGAAGAAGAACGUAUGUGAGAGUAACUGCUCAGAUAGUGACGGUAUUCAACCAGAAAGUCACGGCUAACUACGUGCCAGCAGCCGCGGUAAUACGUAGGUGGCAAGCGUUGUCCGGAUUUAUUGGGCGUAAAGGGAGCGCAGGCGGUUAAAUAAGUCUGGGAUGUGAAAGCCCUCAGCUCAACUGAGGAAUUGCAACGGAAACUGUUUAACUUGAGUGCAGAAGAGGAGAGUGGAACUCCAUGUGUAGCGGUGAAAUGCGUAGAUAUAUGGAAGAACACCAGUGGCGAAGGCGGCUCUCUGGUCUGUCACUGACGCUGAGGCUCGAAAGCAUGGGUAGCGAACAGGAUUAGAUACCCUGGUAGUCCAUGCCGUAAACGAUGAGUGCUAAGUGUUGGGAGGUUUCCGCCUUUCAGUGCUGCAGCAAACGCAUUAAGCACUCCGCCUGGGGAGUACGACCGCAAGGUUGAAACUCAAAGGAAUUGACAGGGGCCCGCACAAGCGGUGGAGCAUGUGGUUUAAUUCGAAGCAACGCGAAGAACCUUACCAGGUCUUGACAUCUCCUGCGAGCCUA
rnacentral:rRNA from 1 species